GAAUAAAACUUUGCAAUACAUGCAAUUAAAUUAAUGUUGCCAAUGUAGCUGAGAUAUACAGCAUUUAGUUAGUCUGAAGUAAACUACUCCGAAGUUUCUAGUUUCAAAUACCGUCGUUAUGGCUUAUUCAUGGGAUAACCGUGUAGAUUUCGUUGUUCGGUAUAUGUAU